rnacentral:tRNA from 1 species
AAGACUUUAAGUUAAAAAAAACUAAUAUCCUUCAAAGCUAUAAAUAAAGAGACUCUUUAAGUCUUA